GUCUUUUAGAUUUAAAUUAAAAGUCUAAUCUGCCCAAUGAUUAUUGAAUGGCCGCAGUAAACUGACUGUGCAAAGGUAGCAUAAUAAUUAGUCUUUUAAUUGAAGGCUUGAAUGAAUGAUUGGACGAGAAUUUAACUUUAUUCUAAUUAUUAUUUGAAUUUGAUUAUUAAGUAAAAAAGCUUAGAUAAUUAUGUGGGACGAGAAGACCCUAUAGAGCUUAAGAAAGAAAUUAAUUAAUUAGUUUUAGAAUUGUUUUAUUGAAUAAAUUAAUUUGUUUUUUGUGUUGGGGUGACAUUGAAAUAAUUCUAACUUUCAAUAAAUCUUCCAUUAAUUUAUGUUUUUAAGAUCCUACAAUUAAGAUUAAAAGAAUAAGUUACCUUAGGGAUAACAGCAUAAUUAAAUUGAAGAGUUCAAAUCGAUAAUUUAGUUUGUGACCUCGAUGUUGGAUUAAGAAAAGAUUUUGAAGCAAAUUUUAUAAAACUUGGUCUGUUCGACCAUUAAAUUCUU
rnacentral:rRNA from 1 species